rnacentral:lncRNA from 1 species
CAUUUAGCUUGGAGAAGAGAAGGCUCUGGGGAGACCUUAUUGGGGCCUUCCAAGACCUGAAGGGAACAUAUAAACAGGAGGGGGAAUGGCUGUUUACGAGGGUGGAUAGGAAUUGGGCUUGUUUAGUUUGGAGAAGAGAAGGCUCUGGAGAGACCUCAUUGUGGCCUUCCAGUACUUGAAGGGAGUGUAUAAACAGGAGGGGAACAGCUGUUUAUGAGGGUGGAUAGUGAUAGGACAAGGGGGAAUGGUUUUAAACUGAGACAGGGGAGGUUUAGGUUGGAGAUGAGGAGGAAGUUUUUUCCCCCAGAGGGUGGUGACGCACUGAACAGGUUGCCCAAGGAGGCUGUGGAUGCCCCAUCCCUGCAGGCAUUCAAGGCCAGGCUGGAUGUGGCUCUGGGCAGCCUGGGCUGCUGGUUGGUGACCCUGCACAUAGCAGGGGGUUGGAACUGGAUGAGCACUGUGCUCCUUUUCAACCCAGGCCAUUCUAGGAUUCUAGGAUUCUAUGAUAUGGUGAGCAUGGUCCCAUUGACAUCCUCCAAGAGAACUGUCAGUGAUGGGUUUCUUAUCUUACAUUAUUGCUCACGGUGACAAGUAACGCUGUGGGAGGUCAUCCACAGGGCAGGGAUGCAUGGCAGCCCUUCCCAUCCAGCCCCUGCCACCACUUCUCACAGCUCUUAACACAUCACCACCAUUAAAGCACGCUGAAACCCUUCUGUUUGAUCUAUCCAGAGGCAUCCAAAUUACACACCAACCCCAGCGUCUGCAGAAGGAUUUCCCCAUUCUCAGCUAAACGCUCUGAGCAGCAGCAAUACAGUGAAGGUGCUUUAAUCCUCCAGCAGCCGUGAACCCCCCGGCCCUCCCUCAAAGCACUCCGCACGGCUCUGCUCCAUUGAAGCACUGCUCAUUAGCGGCUUUCCUGUAAAUAACCCAGAGCUCCAUUCCCAGGGCUCACCCAGCGUGCUCUUCAUCUACUGCUGCAUGCAGAGGCUGAAGGAGCCACGUUGCAGCACUUUUCUCUGAUGCUUCUGUAGGUCCGGAGAAGUCGGUAACUUUUUAAUCAAACACGUGGAGGAGCUGCAGAGAGGAAUUAACACCACAUCCUCAGCAGGGCCAGCAGACAGCAGCCCGA